AACGUAGGAGACAAACGUUAUCCGGAGUUACUGGGCGUAAAGGGCGUGUAGGUGGUUUCGUAAGUCUGGCGUGAAAUUUUUCGGCUUAACCGGGAAAGGUCGUCGGAUACUGCGGGACUGGAGGACGGUAGAGGCGUGUGGAAUUCCGGGUGUAGUGGUGAAAUGCGUAGAUAUCGAGAGGAACACCUGCGGCGAAGGCGGGUUGCUGGGCCGACACUGACGCUGAGGCGCGAAAGCCAGGGGAGCGAACGGG
rnacentral:rRNA from 1 species